GUAGUUGAUGAGCAUUCCCAUUUCCAGAUUCGUGGAUAAUGUUUUCCUGUUAAACAUUCAUCACUGUCCAGUCGUCUUGGUAACAAUUGUUUUAUUAACAGUAUAAAAAAACCUUAACUCAAGUCACUUGGAUUAAUUGAACUUCAAUUGAACCUUUCAAGACUCAUUUUUGUUUUGUUGAUCCAAUUCAGUGUAACCCUCGAGUGUCAUCAUACAAAGACAAUAUCAUGAUCUUGCAAACCAUUAGCAUCAUCUUUACAUUUGCAUUUUACUGAUUAUUAUGAUUUUCACAAUUAUGUUUCAUUAUGUUUCUUGCAAUAUAAUUUUCAAUUCUUGUGUCAACUACAAGUCCAACUUUUUCCCAAAUUAAACACUCAACCAAACACCAUUUAUCCUGCAACCAGCAAAUAUUUUCAGCUUAAAUUAAAGUGACUUCACUCUUCAACAACCGAUUUAACCGUUAAUCAAGUGAGUUAUCAUUUGUGACCAAACAAUCAAAUACUUUUUUGGAUAAUUUUUUAAUCAUUUGUUGGAUAAACUAAUUGGGUUGAUCUGAUGAUGGAAGUUGCAUCUGAGGCCAAUAUUGCAAGUGGAUGUUCAUCUGGUUCCAAUCAUGCUGGACCCUCUUCAACUGAUGCUCCUGGAUUUGAUGAUUUCCUGCAAUCGGGCAGAACUGGAAGACGAAAUGCUGUUCCUGAUAUUGUCGAUGAAAAUGGGUCUAAAGAAUCUUUGCCUGAAAUUGUUUCAGAAGGUUAACUGAUCGCAACUGAAAACAUUAAAUGUUUAUGAAUGACAUUUGAACAGGAUUCAGUCUGUUGUGCUAUUUAGUCGGCUAAUGUGCGAUCAUUGGGACAAACAGUUGGUAAGAAGUGCCCUUAGUUGUGGGGAUUCACUGGAUGAAAAGAUUGAUAGCCAUUGAAACAUAAAUCCCUUUCAACCGAACCCACUUUUUAAACAUUAAUCUCAUUGAUGGUCAUUAUGAGUCUCUAGUCAUGUUUAAUCGCAUCAAUAACUUUGUGUCAACAUUUCUUUGUCAAUCAAUGUAAUACCAAAAUUGUUCGUUAAGAUAAUCAAUACUGUCAAUCAGUCGAUAUCUAUUGCUAUUUUUUAAUUAAAACAAAAUUGUUAA